rnacentral:lncRNA from 1 species
AACUAAUAGAGGACGGUUCGAAUAAGAGAAAAGACUAAUUAUAUGAAUUGGGUCUAUUAGUGUCACAAUUGACUAUACUCUAGCUAUCUAAAAUCAAUUAUCAAACUACAAAACACCAAAGCUUACUACUUCCGUCUUGAUUCAACACAUAAUCCAUUCUAUGACUAUCAAUUCAACAAUACUUCCAUAUUAUUAUUAGUUCAUCUCCCACUUACUCUCUUUGUGGUUUAUAUAUAUUCAUUUACUGAUCCCCAACUUACUUAUUAUAUUCAGUUUCUCAAUUCAUCACACACAAUUCAAUAUCUUCACUUAAUAUAACAUAAUUCGAUAAUCUCAAUUCUCAAGGUCACAGAUUUUCUCCAAAACGGUUAGUCCAAAGUCAUAUUCUACAAUAUUCUAAUCACCGUUUCAACAAUACUU